AUCUACUUAAAAUUUUAUUUAUGUGGGCCAAGUAUCACCUAAUUCAACAUUUUAACCGUCCAUCAAUCAGUUAAAAGGAAUAAUGUGCAUGUGAAAGUGCAGAUGAAUAUGAGAAAACAGUUCGAUUCGAGCAAUUUCUAUCAAGUAUUCAAAUGAGAAAGUAUAACGAUUGAUUAUGGGUGUUUCAAGUUCUUUGGUAGUACUUUUGUACAUUUGCUGCGCUAUUUUUGAACUUACGGGAGCUAAUGCAGAUAACAAAACAUGUAAUACACUGGAUUUUUCUGAUAUUUCUAUUCGCGACCCCGACGAAGUUCUGAAAUUAGAAAAAGAAGAUUUCCAUAAAUAUAUAAACAAGACAAACCGAAGGUUACAGAAAUUAAAAACAUUAAUAUCACAAUCUUAUCAUCGCAAUUUCGACUGUUUCAUUGUUUCUUCGACCCGUGCCCUCGAACGAGGCUACUCCUAUCGUAACGUCCACAACACCUCGAAAUCACUCCAAGAUUUACCUACAGAUUUUCAAUACAUAAUCAACACCUACGAUAACCGUACAGACGAAUUUAGACGAGCUGAUAACAAAAGACGAGGACGAUACAUCAUCGGUCGUUCGUACGAAUAUUGGUACGAAAUAUCUAAAAAUUCCAGGAACAAGACUUUCUCGAGGUGUAUUCUUAAUGAACUCGACUCUUACUAUAAUGCUAAUAAGGAUAGGUAUAAGUACAAUUCGCUGGAUACGGUUCGCGAGAGAUUUGCAGCGACGAUGGCUCGAACUUACAACUUGGUGUGUUUUUUUCAUCACAAAUUGCAAAAUGAAAUAGGUAUUAUAGGUGAAGAUUUAACGAAGCGAUACCCGAAUCAAGAGAUAGGGUUUUUGAGGUCGAUGUUUUAUAGAAUGCCGUCGUUUUAUUUUACAAAGGAGCAUUUGGAUUUUUUGAAUAUUUUGAUGAAAGUUGUGUAUACAAAAGGAGAGUAUAAAGUUGAAUGUAUUUGGGCUAAAAAUGGUUUAGGUAUGGAAACUGCGAUUCCUAUUUCUUCGGCUUGUUUGGAAAUAGAACGAGAAAUGUUGAUCGAAUCUUAGUUAACCGGAGGAUUUAGACAUAGACAAACAAAAAUUUAAAUUAAAAAAAAAAAAUUUAAAACGAACAAGGAACCUUUUGUUUUUCAAUUGAAAUUACUGCUCUAUAUCUAGUAAUUUUAUUUAAUUCUGUAUUAUUUUGUAUGUACGUAAUGUAAAUAUUUUGAUAUAAAAAUUUAGUACCUUAAUU